AAUGGGGCUUGUAAUAAAGAUUGCCUUAUCAGGAGAGCCUGGCUUCCUUCCUUCCUUCCUUCCUCCUCUCAGCAGGAGAUGAUGGCAGAGAGCUCUUUUCUUUUCCUCCUUCAGGUAUGCCUACAGGAUUCCUGUCUCCAUUCCAAGCACCUUCUCAGGCAGACAGCAGGACAAACACCAUCUGUCAGAAAAAGAAGGCACCUGCAGUGCUUGCGUGUGUGAUGGUUCAUGCUGUCUUCCUGUCGAAAUGGAGAGGUGAUGAAAUUCUGUUCAUUCCAGAUGUUCUGUCUGAAUAGCAUGUGCAGUGGAGGCUACUAUGCUGUCUUCAGUGUAAAGGUCAGCUACCAGUCUAGUCAUCUUCUGAAGUAAAUGGAACAGUGGCCCCUCUUGCCUUUGUCUUCGGCAAAAUCUAUUUUUAAAGCCAAGUUUUAAACAGUGGGAUGUAAAUGUAAGCCAUUAAUAAACAAUGCUUCCCCAGCA